AUCCCAGCCAGCCAGAUUCCGCGGCGGCGGCGGCGACGGUGGCCUAGGCAGGCCAAACCGCGAAACGGAAAAGGAGGACGGAGGAGAGGAGAACCUCGAGACCGGCUAAACCAGCAUCCACCCCUUGAAGUAUACCUGUGAAUGCUGUCAUGCUGGCUACACUUCAUUAAAUGGACACACUGCUGAAAUUCACACUUCAGCCUGUGAGUCACAUCAUGCCUAAGGCCAAAGGAUAUCCGGCAGCACACACCUUUGGCUUAUUAUGGCUUAGUGUAAACGAAGAAAUGAAAGAGAUGAAGCCAUGCGUGUUGUCACCUCUGCUAACCAUAAGUGGCAGUUUACAGUCUUCUCAUUGU